rnacentral:rRNA from 2 species
UAGGGAAUCUUCGGCAAUGGACGAAAGUCUGACCGAGCAACGCCGCGUGAGUGAAGAAGGUUUUCGGAUCGUAAAACUCUGUUGUUAGAGAAGAACAAGGACGUUAGUAACUGAACGUCCCCUGACGGUAUCUAACCAGAAAGCCACGGCUAACUACGUGCCAGCAGCCGCGGUAAUACAUAGGUGGCAAGCGUUGUCCGGAUUUAUUGGGCGUAAAGCGAGCGCAGGCGGUUUCUUAAGUCUGAUGUGAAAGCCCCCGGCUCAACCGGGGAGGGUCAUUGGAAACUGGGAGACUUGAGUGCAGAAGAGGAGAGUGGAAUUCCAUGUGUAGCGGUGAAAUGCGUAGAUAUAUGGAGGAACACCAGUGGCGAAGGCGGCUCUCUGGUCUGUAACUGACGCUGAGGCUCGAAAGCGUGGGGAGCAAACAGG